AAUAUGAUUGUUGCAACUUUGAUUGUGGUCAUCGACGUGUAAAUUAUAGAAUUAUGAUGCAAUUUCUUUUAUCCAUUUGGUUUAUAACCAAAUAUGCGUUGACAGAACAAGGUAUUGUCUCUGUAUCUAAAGGUUGUCAAAAGCUCCAAACCAUUCUAUAUUUUUGUCAUUAAAUGUCUAAUGUUACUCUAAAUACUAUUACGCAGAAUAUGCCUAAUUUUACUCACUUUCUCAUGUGUAUUCUGGAGCCUAGCGGUGUAUAAAGCUAAUGAAUCUUUGUGAAAUUGAUGUGGCAGGUAUUUAAUGCUAGGUACAAUGGGAUUGUCUUGAGGGUUUGAGCUCUCGUGCCAUUCAUUUUAUAGUUUGUUCGAGCCCUGGGAUGUUCAUUUGCUUAUCAAUAGAGGCCAAAACUAUGUUGUUGAAGGGGUAAAAUGGAGAUGGCUAUGACGUUUCCGGAUAUUUUGCAGUGAUAUAUGGUAUCACGGUGGUUGAUCUAUGCUGAAUCUUGGUAUAAAAAAUGGGGACUUGAGAAAGCACGUGUAUAUGCAGCAGAAAGUGGUUUGUUUGUCAAGGAGAUAUCUGCCAAAUCUGCAGCCAAUGUUAAUGAAGUAUUUUAUGAAAUAGGUGAUAUUUUAAGGAAGCGAUCUAUAAUGAUUUAGUAAGGCUACUAAUAUUUUAAUUGAGAGAAUUUCUUAUGUAAUUUCAAUAUUUUUUACACACUAUCUGAUUUAAGGCUUUGUGAAUUUUCGAGGAAGAGGAGAUGGGAUUCCGAAUGGCUGCUCAGAAGUUGUUAUGAAAGAUGCUGCUAAAAUUAUAGAAAUAUUUGGAUGCCUCAUGAGGUAAGAUUGACUCGCUUUUUCAUGUGUAUUCUGGAGCUUAGCGGUGUAUAGAACCAAGGAGUCUUUGUGAAUUUGAUGCGGCAGGUAUUUAAUGUCAGGUACACACUCAAUUUAGAAAUCUCUAAAUGAGUUUUUUGUUGCUUUGGCUUAUAAGGACGAAGUCAGAAAAUUUGA